rnacentral:lncRNA from 1 species
UCUAUGACGUGUGAAAUAAGACUUGACUUCGGAAUUCGGAAUUCGGAUUUUCCAUCGUACGAAAUGUCGCGUCGAAGUGGUUUGAGUACAAAGAAAUUUAAAGAACUAGAAGUAUCAAAUCCACAAGAUUUAAUUGCUAGGGAAACAAUAUCGAAAAGGUGUUAUACUUCAAAAAAAAUUGUAAUCCCGCAAAAUGGUGAAUUGUUAGAUAGUUCAAUGUUGAGAGGUGAAUCGAUAGAACCAUUGGUACCCAAUCUUGUCAUAGUGCAGCCUGUUAAAAGGAUUGAGAAAAAUGAAUCCAUUGAAUAUGAAGCAAUGUCAAGUUAUGGUUUUGAGAACAAGAGCGGGAAAAGAAGUCUGGAUGCAGGCAAUUGCAAAGCUAAGAAAUAUGGUGGUGAUAUUUCUAUUUUGGAUUUGUUUGGUGAACAAAGGGAAAGAAAUAAUGAGCAAAACUAAAAAUAUAUAUAGUUAAUACAUCUAUUUUAUUCUUUUUGUUACUGUAUUUUUGUAGAAUGGAAAACGAGCCAGAAGAGACUCUUCUGGAAUCACCCAACAUAGCGAUUUAGCCAAAAAUUCUUAAACAUUCGAAAUCGUCUGUUCCUCUUUUGCCAAAAAAUCUUAAACAUUCCAAAUUAUCUGUUCCUCUUCUGACGCCUAGAACUACACCGACGCCUACUCCUUCACCACUAGUGUCAAAUCUUGUUACAGUGCAGCCUUUUAAAAGCUGUUUAGGUAAUUUACGGAUUGAUAUUAAAAGCAAAACAGCAAGAUUUGGACAACAAGAUAGAACGUGUGUACCAAAAUCGAAUAAAGAGAAGUCUUUAGUCAACGUACCGAGUCAAAACAAAACUUGUGUAUAUAUCUCACCUGAGAAAAAUCAAUCGAUUUUAAUAUUAAGCAAUAUCCAGUUAUGCUUUAAGAACGGGAGCGUGAAAAGAAGUCUGGAUGUUGGUAACAAUUACAAAGCUAAGAAAUACUGUGGUGAUAUUUCUAUUUCGGAUUUGUUUAGGGAUCAAAGAAUGAAAAGCGAUUCAGAAGAACCUUCAAUUCUCAAGACUAUCGGAAUUUUUACGUAUUACUUGCAAAAUUUUCCCCAAAUUGUCUCUAGAGACCUGAUGAUCACGUAAAACGUUUUCCUGUCACAGAAUUCUGAAAAUGUACCAACGUGAUGA